rnacentral:miRNA from 1 species
UCGACGACAUUUCCUGGCUGU